CCUACGGGUGGCAGCAGUGAGGAAUAUUGGUCAAUGGACGAGAGUCUGAACCAGCCAAGUAGCGUGAAGGAUGACUGCCCUAUGGGUUGUAAACUUCUUUUAUAUGGGAAUAAAAUGUUCCACGUGUGGGUUUUUGUAUGUACCAUAUGAAUAAGGAUCGGCUAACUCCGUGCCAGCAGCCGCGGUAAUACGGAGGAUCCGAGCGUUAUCCGGCUUUAUUGGGUUUAAAGGGAGCGUAGGUGGAUUGUUAAGUCAGUUGUGAAAGUUUGCGGCUCAACCGUAAAAUUGCAGUUGAAACUGGCAGUCUUGAGUACAGUAGAGGUGGGCGGAAUGCGUGGUGUAGCGGUGAAAUGCUUAGAUAUCACGAAGAACGCCGAUUGCGAAGGCAGCUCACUGGACUGCAACUGACACUGAGGCUCGAAAGUGUGGGUAUCAAACAGGAUUAGAUACCCUUGUAGUC
rnacentral:rRNA from 1 species